GACUGAUCUGAGUGCAUUGGUGUUUAUAACGAAUUGGUCACAACCGGUUGCAAAUAUCUUUGUUCCUUCUCCACUCCCACUGCUUCACUUGACUAGUCUUAA
ensembl:misc_RNA Y_RNA Y RNA